CCCUUAGAUGUUCUGGGCCGCACGCGCGCUACACUGAGGCAUUCAACGAGCCUAUCCUUGACCGACAGGUCCGGGUAAUCUUUGAAUCUGCAUCGUGACGGGGAUAGAUUAUUGCAAUUAUUAAUCUUCAACGAGGAAUGCCUAGUAGGCGCAAGUCAUCAGCUUGCGUCGAUUACGUCCCUGCCCUUUGUACACACCGCCCGUCGCUCCUACCGAUUGGGUGUGCUGGUGAAAUGUUCGGAUCGGCCGUUUGUCGCGGUUUCCGCGUCAUGUGGCUGAGAAGUUCAUUAAACCCUCCCACCUAGAGGAAGGAGAAGUCGUAACA
rnacentral:rRNA from 1 species